CGGAACGUACCAUUCAGUGGGGGAUAACGUAGCGAAAGUUACGCUAAUACCGCAUAUUCUGUGAGCAGGAAAGCAGGGGAUCGCAAGACCUUGCGCUGAUUGAGCGGCCGAUAUCAGAUUAGCUUGUUGGUGAGGUAAAAGCUCACCAAGGCGACGAUCUGUAGCGGGUCUGAGAGGAUGAUCCGCCACACUGGAACUGAGACACGGUCCAGACUCCUACGGGAGGCAGCAGUGGGGAAUUUUGGACAAUGGGGGCAACCCUGAUCCAGCCAUGCCGCGUGAGUGAAGAAGGCCUUCGGGUUGUAAAGCUCUUUCAGCCGGGAAGAAAACGCAUGGGUUAAUACCCUGUGUGGAUGACGGUACCGGAAUAAGAAGCACCGGCUAACUACGUGCCAGCAGCCGCGGUAAUACGUAGGGUGCGAGCGUUAAUCGGAAUUACUGGGCGUAAAGCGUGCGCAGGCGGUUUUGUAAGACAGGCGUGAAAUCCCCGGGCUUAACCUGGGAACUGCGUUUGUGACUGCAAGGCUAGAGUACGGCAGAGGGGGGUGGAAUUCCACGUGUAGCAGUGAAAUGCGUAGAGAUGUGGAGGAACACCAAUGGCGAAGGCAGCCCCCUGGGUCGAUACUGACGCUCAUGCACGAAAGCGUGGGUAGCAACAGGAUUAGAUACCCUGGUAGUCCACGCCCUAAACGAUGUCAACUAGGUGUUGGGAGGGUAAAACCUUUUAGUACCGGAGCUAACGCGUGAAGUUGACCGCCUGGGGAGUACGGCCGCAAGGUUAAAACUCAAAGGAAUUGACGGGGACCCGCACAAGCGGUGGAUGAUGUGGAUUAAUUCGAUGCAACGCGAAAAACCUUACCUACCCUUGACAUGCCAAGAACUUUCCAGAGAUGGAUUGGUGCCCGAAAGGGAACUUGGACACAGGUGCUGCAUGGCUGUCGACAGCUCGUGUCGUGAGAUGUUGGGUUAAGUCCCGCAACGAGCGCAACCCUUGUCGUUAAUUGCCAUCAUUUAGUUGGGCACUUUAACGAGACUGCCGGUGACAAACCGGAGGAAGGUGGGGAUGACGUCAAGUCCUCAUGGCCCUUAUGGGUAGGGCUUCACACGUCAUACAAUGGUCGGUACCAAGGGUCGCCAAGCCGCGAGGUGGAGCCAAUCCCAGAAAGCCGAUCGUAGUCCGGAUCGCAGUCUGCAACUCGACUGCGUGAAGUCGGAAUCGCUAGUAAUCGUGGAUCAGAAUGUCACGGUGAAUACGUUCCCGGGUCUUGUACACACCGCCCGUCACACCAUGGGAGCGGGUUCCGCCAGAAGUAGGUAGCCUAACCGCAAGGAGGGCGCUUACCACGGCGGGGUUCGUGACUGGGGUGAAGUCGUAACAAGGUA
rnacentral:rRNA from 1 species